GACGAACGCUGGCGGCGCGCCUAACACAUGCAAGUCGAACGGAGCUGAGAGAAGCUUGCUUUUCUUAGCUUAGUGGCGAACGGGUGAGUAACGCGUGAGUAACCUGCCCUGGAGUGGGGGACAACAGUUGGAAACGACUGCUAAUACCGCAUAAGCCCACGAUCCGGCAUCGGAUUGAGGGAAAAGGAUUUAUUCGCUUCAGGAUGGACUCGCGUCCAAUUAGCUAGUUGGUGAGGUAACGGCCCACCAAGGCGACGAGUGGUAGCCGGACUGAGAGGUUGAACGGCCACAUUGGGACUGAGACACGGCCCAGACUCCUACGGGAGGCAGCAGUGGGGGAUAUUGCACAAUGGGGGAGACCCUGAUGCAGCGACGCCGCGUGGAGGAAGAAGGUUUUAGGAUUGUAAACUCCUGUCGUUAGGGACGAUAAUGACGGUACCUAACAAGAAAGCACCGGCUAACUACGUG
rnacentral:rRNA from 1 species